UACGGGGGGAGCAAGCGUUGUUCGGAUUUACUGGGCGUAAAGCGCACGUAGGCGGAUUGUUAAGUGAGGGGUGAAAUCCCAGGGCUCAACCCUGGAACUGCCUUUCAUACUGGCAAUCUCGAGUCCGGAAGAGGUGAGUGGAACUCCUAGUGUAGAGGUGGAAUUCGUAGAUAUUAGGAAGAACACCAGUGGCGAAGGCGGCUCACUGGUCCGGUACUGACGCUGAGGUGCGAAAGCGUGGGGAGCAAACAGG
rnacentral:rRNA from 1 species